GAUGAACGCUGGCGGCGUGCCUAAUACAUGCAAGUCGAGCGAACAGACGAGGAGCUUGCUCCUCUGACGUUAGCGGCGGACGGGUGAGUAACACGUGGAUCACCAACCUAUAAGACUGGGAUAACUUCGGGAAAACGGAGCUAAUAACGGAUCAUAUAUUGAACCGCAUGAUUCAAUAGUGAAAGACGGUUUUGCCGUCUCUUAUAGAUGGAUCCGCGCCGCAUUAUCUAGUUGGUAAGGUAACGGCUUACCAAGGCAGCGAUGCGUAACCGACCUGAGAGGGGUAACGGGCAAACUGGGACUUAGACAACGGCCAGGCCCCUACGGGGAGGAAGAGUAGGGAAUCUUUCGAAAAGGGCGGAAGCCUGACGCAACACCGCCGCGGGAGUGAAGAAGGUCUUCGGAUCGGAAAACUCUGUUAGUAGGGAAGAACAAAUGGGUAAGUAACUAUGCACUGCUUGACGGUACCUAAACAGAAAGGCACGGCUAACUACGUG
rnacentral:rRNA from 1 species